rnacentral:ncRNA from 1 species
AGAGGUAGAGGAGCAAUUAUUAAGAGUAAUUAAAUGGAGCAGAAGUGUUUAGAUAUUUAAUGAAAGGGGUAAUUGCCGAAGUUUUAUAAGUAUACUAAAGGCUUAUAAUUCUGGUUUUAUAUAUAAGAUAUGUAAGACUGUCACAUUGUUUGUGGAGUGCUAUC